rnacentral:rRNA from 1 species
CGGACGGGUGAGUAACGCGUGAGAAUCUGCCUUUAGGUCCGGGACAACCACUGGAAACGGUGGCUAAUACCGGAUGUGCCGCAACGUGAAAGGGGAAACCCGCCUGAAGAUGAGCUCGCGUCUGAUUAGCUAGUUGGUGAGGUAAAGGCUCACCAAGGCGACGAUCAGUAGCUGGUCUGAGAGGAUGACCAGCCACACUGGGACUGAGACACGGCCCAGACUCCUACGGGAGGCAGCAGUGGGGAAUUUUCCGCAAUGGGCGAAAGCCUGACGGAGCAAGACCGCGUGAGGGAAGAAGGCUCUUGGGUCGUAAACCUCUUUUGUCAGGGAAGAACACAAUGACGGUACCUGACGAAUCAGCCUCGGCUAACUCCGUGCCAGCAGCCGCGGUAAUACGGAGGAGGCAAGCGUUAUCCGGAAUUAUUGGGCGUAAAGCGUCCGUAGGUGGCUAGUCAAGUCUGCGGUCAAAGACUGGGGCUUAACCCUGGAAAGGCCGUGGAAACUGACGAGCUAGAGUGCAGUAGGGGUAGAGGGAAUUCCCGGUGUAGCGGUGAAAUGCGUAGAGCUCGGGAAGAACAUCGGUGGCGAAAGCGCUCUACUGGACUGCAACUGACACUCAGGGACGAAAGCUAGGGGAGCGAAUGGGAUUAGAUACCCCAGUAGUC